UGCAUCGGCCGGGAAUUGAACCCGGGCCACCCGCGUGGCAGGCGAGCAUUCUACCACUGAACCAUCGAUGC
rnacentral:tRNA from 1 species